ensembl:lincRNA
GGAGCCUCUUAAAUUUAUUAUGGUUAGACACCUCCUUCUUCAAUUAUCUAUGUUCAAGUCACAGAGAUUAAAAUAUGCUCCCUUGACUAAGUGGGAGUGAUACUUCAGAGGAGGAAUUAUCUUGUUCCAUAUUUACUUACCAGGUCAAGCAUCCAUCAUGCACCGUGUACACCACAGUGCACCACAGCUGAGACCAGCGUGGAUCCCACCAUCAGCAGCUUUUCCAAAGGACCCAGGCAAAAUGUUUCUUUUUGAGGCAGAGAAUUCUUCUAAAUGAUUGUUGGAACUUAGAAUUACUCAAGAUUAUUAUAACCGAGUGGCCAGAGGGAUAUGCUGCCAUUAUGUCCUUCAGCAUAAAGAACUGGUGACUUCUGUAAGUGUGGUGUUUCUGAGGGCAUCCUCUUCCACAUUUUUAGCGAAAUCUACCUCGAUACACACAGAUGCAAUGCUCACAGAGGCCAGAACGCUUCCCAGAAGCAGCCAAGGUAUUAACUUUGGGAUCCUGAAUUUCAACCAAAGAAAACAGGACUGAGUGAAGGCUGAAAUCUUGAGGCAGUAAAAUACAGAAAGAACAUAAUGAAGUACACAGAAUGAAGCUGAAGGAGAGUGCA